ensembl:snRNA U1 U1 spliceosomal RNA
GUACUUACCCGGCAGGGGGGAUACCGUGAUCACAAAGGCGGUUUUCCCAGGGCAGGGUUUAUCCAUUACAUUCGGGAUGUGCUGACCCCUGAGGUUUCCCCAAACGCGGGAAACUCGACCGCAUAAUUUGUGGUAGUGGGGGAUUUCGUGCGUGCUCACUCCAG